UACAGAGGGUGCAAGCGUUGUCCGGAAUUAUUGGGCGUAAAGAGCUCGUAGGCGGCUUGUCACGUCGGAUGUGAAAGCCCGGGGCUUAACUCCGGGUCUGCAUUCGAUACGGGCUGGCUAGAGUGUGGUAGGGGAGAUCGGAAUUCCUGGUGUAGCGGUGAAAUGCGCAGAUAUCAGGAGGAACACCGGUGGCGAAGGCGGAUCUCUGGGCCAUUACUGACGCUGAGGAGCGAAAGCGUGGGGAGCGAACAGG
rnacentral:rRNA from 1 species